rnacentral:rRNA from 1 species
ACGGGAGGCAGCAGUGGGGAAUAUUGCACAAUGGGCGAAAGCCUGAUGCAGCGACGCCGCGUGAGGGAUGACGGCCUUCGGGCUGUAAACCUCUUUCAGCAGGGACGAAGCGAGAGUGACGGUACCUGCAGAAGAAGCACCGGCCAACUACGUGCCAGCAGCC